GCACUUUAAGCAGUGAAGAAGACUCCUCGGUUAAUACCCGUGGACGAUGACAUUAGCUGCAGAAUAAGCACCGGCUAACUCUGUGCCAGCAGCCGCGGUAAUACAGAGGAUGCAAGCGUUAAUCGGAAUUACUGGGCGUAAAGGGAGCGUAGGUGGCUCGAUAAGUCAGAUGUGAAAUCCCCGGGCUUAACCUGGGAACUGCAUCUGAAACUGUAGAGCUAGAGUAUGUGAGAGGAAGGUAGAAUUCCAGGUGUAGCGGUGAAAUGCGUAGAGAUCUGGAGGAAUACCGAUGGCGAAGGCAGCCUUCUGGCAUAAUACUGACACUGAGGCUCGAAAGCGUGGGUAGCAAACAGGAUUAGAUACCCUGGUAGUCCACGCCGUAAACGAUGUCUACUAGUCGUUGG
rnacentral:rRNA from 1 species